AUUUAGCUUUAGAGAAUCUUCAUACUAAUAAAACUUAGAUAUUUCAUGUCAGUGCCUGUAAUUGAAUUUUGGAACAUAUUCUUUUAUCUUUGUUUUGCAGUUAAAUUUGCAGACUUCUCCAUCUUGUGAUGCAGUCACGGGCUCUCAACAAGGCCAACAAACAGCAUAAAUAGUCCCACAUGCUGCCUAUUCUGAAAAUAAUUUGGGUUUUGCUUACCAUCGAUAUAUUCUAUUGACAAUCUCAAAACAAUGCCACAUUUUAAACUUAAAAACAGUUCAUGACAUACACACUUAAAAAUGUGCUACCUCCACAUUAAAAAAUGAAAAACAGUGUUUUGUAGUUACAGUGGAAAGAUAGAUGUGAAUCAUCCUCCUCUCUCUUCCUCUCAGCUCUCCAUUUCUCUCUCCCGCCCCUCCCAAGUUCUACUUUCUCCUUCUCUUCUUCAUUUCUAUGUCCUGUCUUUUUUCAUCUCUUGUUUGACUUUGAAAAAUAAUUUGAUAUUAAACAUCCUUUAGUUUUUAUUUAGGCUCCAGAUGAUGGAAUUUGAAGAAACAAAGAUGUACUCAGUCUCUGGUAGAAUGGAGCUUGCUUAUAUGACCCAGAAACUCAAAUAUCAACAAGUCAACAAUCUAAUAAUGUUGAUCUGUUAUGUGACUUUCAAGCUUCUAUCAUCCCAUCCCUUGAAACAUCAACCAACUCCUGAAGAUAUGGUCCCAGCAUCUUGAAUAUUGCCUGGAGCAUUCCAAGUAAUGUAUGCUCCAAAUUCCGGUCUGAUUCCAGAUCGUACUAUAGACUUACUGACGAAUGCUUUCUCUAUGCUAGUGACAGCCAGUGAUUGAGGAAGUGAGGCCAGUGUAUCUUUGCUUAUAAAAAGAAAGAAAUUUCAUGUCCAUGGACAGAAAAACGAAAUUAAUUCCAUCCUUAGUGCCUCAGAGUUAGCUCUGUCCUCAAUUAGGGCUCUUUGUGUUUAAUAGUUAAGAUUAUUUCUUGUGAACUAUUGCCACACUUAUACUAAAAGAACACAGAACAUAUACUCACCCUGCUGACUCCCCAAGCCCUAUGUAGAAAUGUUCAACACUAUCCCAUAAAAUGUUAAUAAAACAUCUUUACUCAAGAUUAUCUCUUCA
rnacentral:lncRNA from 1 species